ensembl:lincRNA
CUUCCCAACCUUGCCUUCCCAGUUCAGUCAAACCAGUUGGAGCUGGAGUCAGUCUGCAAUGGUGGGGAAGAUCAGAUUUCAGAAAUGGAAGGUGUUCUGCCCCAUCCUCCCUCCAGGGCUGAUCAAGGGUAAUUAUUCACAACAACAACAACAACACAUGGUAAUCUACCCAGUAUCUUUCUCCCAACUACAGAAAAAAACAUAAGGCUAGAAGGUUCAGAAAUACACCCAUCUGCUAAAUUGACUUCACUGCAGAAGCUUGAAAGCAAAGAAAUAGGUGUUAUCAGUAUCCUAGAAGUUGUCCAGAAACCACCACAGCCCAUCGGAGUCCCUGGUGGACAGAAGUUAUCUGAUGACCACUCUUCCUGGAUGAAGAGGUUAUCCAUGCCAGGGUCUGUUCACGGAGGUGUCAACCUGCACUCAUCUUUACUCUUACCGGAGAGGAGAAUCUUCUGCCAUCUAUAGUUCCUGGACUUGCCCACAUUGCACUCAGUCACAUUCUGUUGGACUGAUGAGGGGCUUCUUCCCCUCUCUCACUGCCUGCUCCACCAAUAGGCAGAAACGCCUGUGAUUACAACAAACUCUCUUCCUCAGCAAUCCCUGCUACUUGGUCUAUUUUGAUAGUAUUUCACGGAAUAGGUAGGUCUCUGGCUCCAGGAUGUGCAUUGGGUAAAAAAACCACCUUCUGCUAUGCUUUUUGGGGCAUACAAUUUGCCCUUUUAUCCUUGAGAAAGAGAAAGCAAUUCAAUAUUAGGGAACGAAGUUGUCAAAAAUAAUGAUACUGCUACAACAGAAGGAGAGUUUUCAAGCUAGUGGAUGCCCUCACCUUUCAGCCAAAGGUUGAUAAAGGGGGACAUAUGAAGUCCUGAACUCCCCUUUAGGGUGGAUGGAGUAACUGCUACAGAUAGGCAAACAUGUGUCAGUGGAAAUCUUCCCUAAUUCUAAAACCAAGUUGAAUGCCAGGAUUAUUUCCAAUGUAAGAUGUUUUCCUUUUUCAUUUGGUCAUGUCUUUGUAGGUAUUUUAAUUGGAAUAUCUUAAGGCUUCAUCAGUGAGUUAUAACUAAGUUCUUAAAACAUUAUUUUUAAAGUCAGAAGCUUCCAUUAGUUGAUUUUAUUUUAAUGUCAAUAUUCAUGAUAAGUGACUACUACUUGCACAGACAGCUUACCUUUAUAUGUUUCCCUUGCUUUUAAAACUAGGAGGCUAUUUUGUCUCUCUAAGAGCAUGUCAUGUAUUCUAGUCCUGCGUUAUAUACAGUAUUUUAUACAACAUAUGGCUUUUCAAACUGACUUCCUCAGAAAAACUGGCCAAAAUGAAGGAGAGAAUUGAUAUUUUUUCUCCUUCUUAGGAGGAAAAAUCCAGUAUGUUCAUUUUCUACCACUUUGAGGGCCAUAUUUCC